rnacentral:rRNA from 1 species
UACGUAGGGACCAAGCGUUGUCCGGAAUCAUUGGGCGUAAAGAGCGUGUAGGCGGCUUGUUAAGUCUUGCGUGAAAUCUCGGGGCUCAACCCCGAGCGGUCGUGAGAAACUGGCAGGCUAGAGUGCGGGAGAGGAGAGUGGAAUUCCUGGUGUAGCGGUGAAAUGCGCAGAUAUCAGGAGGAACACCGGUGGCGAAGGCGGGGUCUCUGGGCCGAUACUGACGCUGAGGAGCGAAAAGCGUGGGGGAGCGAACAGG